GACGAACGCUGGCGGCGUGCUUAACACAUGCAAGUCGAACGAUGAAGAAAAGAAUCGAAGCUUCGGCAGAAAUUCAUUUCGGAUUAGUGGCAGACGGGUGAGUAACGCGUGAGCAACCUACCUCUUACAAAGGGAUAGCCUCGGGAAACUGGGAUUAAUACCAUAUAACAUUGUGACGAAGCAUUUCGAUGCAAUCAAAGCUACGGCGGUAAGAGAUGGGCUCGCGUCCCAUUAACCGGAUGGUGAGGUAACGGCUCACCAUAGUGACGAUGGGUAACCGGCCUGAGAGGGUGAACGGUCACACUGGAACUGAGACACGGUCCAGACUCCUACGGGAGGCAGCAGUGGGGAAUAUUGCACAAUGGAGGGAACUCUGAUGCAGCGACGCCGCGUGAGUGAUGAAGGAAUUCGUUUCGUAAAACUCUGUUCUAUGGGAAGAAAAGGACUGUACCAUAGGAGAAAGCUCCGGCUAAAUACGUG
rnacentral:rRNA from 1 species